AGUAACAAUCAGCAGGCACUGGAAGAGUUAAACACUUUCCUUCCAGUUGCUGAUUCUCCACUGCAAAUAAUUCCACUUGGAGAUCUGUAGACAAAAGAAAAGAUGGAACAGGAACUGUCAAAUCUACAGAUGGAGAACUGCCCAGUGAAGGUGUCCCCCGUCGAACAUCAGAUAGCAAGGACCUCCUGGAGACAAAUGCAUUGCCAGAGUAAACAUGGGGACAGACUUCACAUCCGGGCUGAUCUCUGUGUUGAUAUCUCUGUUACAUAGCCUUUUGUUGCUGGUGAUGAAUAACAAAACCACCAGAGUCCCACAGAGCCUUCUGGAUUUGCCUAUUAACUAUUUUUGCGGGGAGCCAAGCCACUGUACUGAGGCCCAUUGACUAAGCCCAGCUGUGUACUGAAAUGAGACUUCGCCGCCCUCGGCCUGCCCAGAAUACCAUACUAAGGCCACAAAGGAGGAUGUGCGCCCGCUCCACUCCGCUCCCUUUCAGCGGCCUGUCAAAACAAACAACAGCAACUUAGAACAAGAACGGUAACAAUUCAAUAGUUGGCUUUCUGGAUCCCUGUAAGUGGUCUAAUAUAGGCUUUGUA